rnacentral:rRNA from 1 species
CCGCCGCGGUAAACGUAGGGGGCAAGCGUUAUCCGGAAUCACUGGGCGUAAAGGGUCCGCAGGUGUCCCGUUAAGUUAGAUGUUAAAUCGCAAGGCUCAACCUUGCGGCUGCAUCUAAUACUGACAGGAUAGAGGAUAGGUGACGUAAGUGGAAUUCCUGGUGGAGAGGUAAAAUCCGUAGAUAUCAGGAGGAACACCCGUGGCGUAGGCGGCUUCCGAACCUAUUCCUGACACUCAGGGACGAAAGCUAGGGGAGCAAACAGGAUUAGAUACCCUGGUAGUCCUAGCUGUAAACGAUGAAUACUAGAUAGUGGGUGCUACACCGUACUCACCGUCGUAGCUAACGCGUUAAGUAUUUCGCCUGGGAACUACGAUCGCAAGUUUGAAACUCAAAGGAAUUGACGGGUCCCCGCACAAGCAGCGAGGCAUGUGGCUUAAUUCGAUGCAACACGAAGAACCUUACCUGGGCUUGACAUGUUUCUGAAAGGCCGGAGAAACCCGGUCCCUUCCAGUUUACUGGAACAGUUUCACAGGUGGUGCAUGGUUGUCGUCAGCUCGUGUCGUGAGAUGUAAGGUUAAGUCCUUAAACGAGCGUAACCUUUGUCAUUAGUUGCCACCGGUUCGGCCGAGCACUCUAAUGAGACCGCUAGCGACAAGCUAGAGGAAGAUGGAGAUGACGUCAAAUCCUCACGUCCCUUAUGUCCAGGGCCGCACACAUGCGACAAUGGUAGAGACAGCGGGUUGCGACGGGGUAACCCUGAGCUAAUCCAUAAACUCUGCCUCAGUACAGAUCGAGGGCUGAAAUUCGACCUCGUGAAGAUGGAGUUGCUAGUAAACGCAGGUCAGCUAUACUGCGUUGAAUACGUUCCCGGGGAUUGCACUCACCGCC